rnacentral:rRNA from 1 species
AGCGUAGGCGGACAUUUAAGUCAGGGGUGAAAUCCCGGGGCUCAACCUCGGAAUUGCCUUUGAUACUGGGUGUCUUGAGUAUGAGAGAGGUGUGUGGAACUCCGAGUGUAGAGGUGAAAUUCGUAGAUAUUACGGAAAAACACCAGUGGCGAAGGCGACACACUGGCUCAUUACUGACGCUGAGGCUCGAAAGCGUGGGGAGCAAACA